rnacentral:rRNA from 1 species
AAGUAGUUCUAAAGGUGGCCUCUAUUUAUAAGCUAUCGCUUAAAGAUGAGCCUGCGUCCUAUUAGUUAGUUGGUGUGGUAAGAGCGCACCAAGGCGAUGAUAGGUAGGCGGCCUUAACGGGUGGUCGCCCACACUGGGAUUGAGAUACGGCCCAGACUCCUACGGGAGGCAGCAGUCGAGAAUAGUCUACAAUGGACGAAAGUCUGAUAGUGCGACGCCGCGUGGAUGAAGAAGCAUUUCGGUGUGUAAAGUCCUUUUCUGUGUGAGCAAUGUUUUCCAGGUUAACAGCUUGGAGAAAGCGAUGUUAACACAGGAAUAAGCUCCGGCUAACUCCGUGCCAGCAGCCGCGGUAACACGGGGGGAGCAAGCGUUGUCCGGAAUUACUAGGCGUAAAGGGUAAGUAGGCGGAAUUGUAAGUCAGGUGUUAAAGGCGUCAGCUCAACUGACGUACGGCAUUUGAUACUGUAAUUCUAGAGUAAGGUGGGGGAAGACGGAAUUCCUGGUGUAGCGGUGGAAUGCGCAGAUAUCAGGAGGAACACCAGAGGCGCAGGCGGUCUUCUAUACCAUUACUGACGCUCAAUUACGAAGGUGUGGGUAUCAAACAGGAUUAGAUACCCUGUAGUCCACACAGUAAACGAUAUACACUAGGUGUUGGGGGAGAUGAUCUUUCAGUGCCGCAGCUAACGCGUUAAGUGUAUCGCCUGGGGAGUACGAUCGCAAGGUUAAAACUCAAAGGAAUUGACGGGGCCCCGCACAAGCGGUGGAGCAUGUUGUUUAAUUCGAUGCAACGCGAAGAACCUUACCUGGGUUUGACAUCCCACAAAGUUUCCAGAGAUGGAGAUGUGCCCCUUCGGGGGAAUGUGGUGACAGGUGCUGCAUGGCUGUCGUCAGCUCGUGUCGUGAGAUGUUGGGUUAAGUCCCGCAACGAGCGCAACCCCUAUUUCUAGUUGCCAGCACGUAAUGGUGGGGACUCUAGAGAGACUGCCAGUGUAAUAAACUGGAGGAAGGUGGGGAUGAUGUCAAGUCAUCAUGGUCCUUAUAUCCAGGGCUACAAACGUGCUACAAUGGUCGGUACAGAGGGAAGCGAUACCGCGAGGUGGAGCCAAUCUCAGAAAGCCGGUCUCAGUUCGGAUCGGAGUCUGCAACUCGACUCCGUGAAGUUGGAAUCGCUAGUAAUCGCGUAUCAGCAUAACGCGGUGAAUACGUUCCCGGGGCUUGUACACACCGCCCGUCAAGUCAGCCGAGUUGAUUGCACCC